CGCGUAGGUGGUUUGUUAAGUUGGAUGUGAAAGCCCCGGGCUCAACCUGGGAACUGCAUCCAAAACUGGCAAGCUAGAGUACGGUAGAGGGUGGUGGAAUUUCCUGUGUAGCGGUGAAAUGCGUAGAUAUAGGAAGGAACACCAGUGGCGAAGGCGACCACCUGGACUGAUACCGACACUGAGGUGCGAAAGCGUGGGGAGCAAACA
rnacentral:rRNA from 1 species